GUAAAGCCAGGAGGACUGUAAGAAGUUAACUUAGAAACAUAAUGUUUACGUAUACUAAUCUUGAAAGAGUUAAGCGAACCACAGAUUUUUAGAUCUGCUGGUAGGCUGUUCCACAGACUUGCAGAUCUGACAAAGAACGAGUUUCUAAAGUACUGCUGUUUAUGUUUUAAGAGGAAAUAGUAAUUAUUUUCAUUAUAAUUGCGAGAUCUAAAACCAGGCUCGUACAAACAUAAAAAGUUAUUAACGUCCAUAGGAAUGAGUCUGGUUUUUGACUUAUACAGUAAAAUCAAGUCCGUGAUCUCUCUGCGGAAUUCUAACGGAAGGAGGUUGGUUGUGAUCAAUCUUUCCGUAUACGACAUUUCCUUUGGGUAAUUUAGAAUGAACUUCGUUGCUCUCCGCUGAACGUUCUCGAUUAAUGAUCGAUGUUUAACGGCUCUGGGUGACCACACGUUACUAGCAUACUCUAACUUGGGUCUGACGAGGGUGCAGUACAAUAAUCUCCUUGUAGCGAAAUCAGUUAUGCCCUUGCUUAUCCUUUUAAUGAGACCCAGUGUCUUGUUGGCUUUUGUAUUAAAUACUAAUAAUCAGUUGUAUUAAAUACAGUUGUAUUAAAUACUAAUAAUCUAUAUAUUAUACAUCAUUAUAUCUCAAAGCAGUUGGGUCCCCACCCAUUUAUAAAAAUUAAAUCAUAAAUAAAAAGAACAAAAAUCUUAAAUUAUGCCUACUAAAAACUUAUUGAAAUUCCUGUUGUACCAUAUAGUUGUAUUAAAUACAUAUAAUCUAUAAAAGCAGUUGGGUCCCCCCACCCAUUUAUAAAAAUUAAAUCAUAAAUAAAAAUAGAACAAAAAUCUAAAUUAUGCCUACUAAAAACUUAUUCAAAUUCCUAUCUUACCAUAUAGUUGUAUUAAAUACAUAUAAUCUAUAUAUUAUACAUCAUCAUAUCUCAAAGCAGUUGGGCCCUCACCCAUUUAUAAAAAUUAAAUCAUACAUAAAAUUAGAACAAAAAUCC
rnacentral:lncRNA from 1 species